CAACGUUCUCAGGGCGGGGUGUAAUUCCCCACCGGCGGUAAUGAUGCGCAAAGCGUCUAGCCCGCGAGCGCUUGUUCAGCUUGUCGAGUGAGCAAGGACAGCAGACCCGGUGUGAUUCCGGGGCCGACGGUUAAAGUCCGGAUAAAGAGAGAGCGGGA
rnacentral:ncRNA from 2 species